rnacentral:rRNA from 1 species
GACGAACGCUGGCGGCGUGCUUAACACAUGCAAGUCGAACGGAAAGGCCCUGCUUUUGUGGGGUGCUCGAGUGGCGAACGGGUGAGUAACACGUGAGUAACCUGCCCUUGACUGUGGGAUAACUUCAGGAAACUGGGGCUAAUACCGGAUAGGAGCUCCUGCUGCAUGGUGGGGGUUGGAAAGUUUCGGCGGUUGGGGAUGGACUCGCGGCUUAUCAGCUUGUUGGUGGGGUAGUGGCUUACCAAGGCUUUGACGGGUAGCCGGCCUGAGAGGGUGACCGGCCACAUUGGGACUGAGAUACGGCCCAGACUCCUACGGGAGGCAGCAGUGGGGAAAAUUGCACAAUGGGCGGAAGCCUGAUGCAGCAACGCCGCGUGCGGGAUGACGGCCUUCGGGUUGUAAACCGCUUUCGCCUGUGACGAAGCGUGAGUGACGGUAAUGGGUAAAGAAGCACCGGCUAACUACGUG